AAAAAUCUUUCUUGAUCCAUUCAUUUUUAUCAUUUCAUUCUUGGUAUAGUUUUUCCCGGAGCAGGACUAUAUCAAAAUAGUUUUUCCCUUUUUGCAAAGUCGUUGCUUCUGUGAAUUCCUUGGACAAGAAUGUUACCCAUCAAAAUGCAAACACUGCAAAAUCCAGGAUCCUCCACCCUCACGAUUUCCCAUAGCUUCAAGAAAGCAGAGCAGUCAGGAGGACCACAACAGCUAAUUUCUCUGAGCAAAUGCUCAGUUUGCCCUGCAAAUACCUGGAAUUGAUCCAUAGCAGUGAUCACACAGCAUCACUGUUUCCCCAUUCCUCUCCUCAAGGGUGCCUUAGCAGACUUUGAGGGGGCUUCUAAAGGCAUUUGUAAUAUAAUUAGUAAAUAUCAGUAAUAUUCCACAUUUACUAGCAACUUGUAUGCAAGUUCAACAUAUGUAAAUGCCUACAUGAUUUUCCCCAUUAUUGUUUGUCAGGCAGUGUUCUGACCCAACAAGGCACUAUUAUGAAAUCUUCCUAAGCACACUGAUGGAACAAGACACUGUUUUCAAAGGCAGGUAAGCUUUAAACAUAAAAUUCAUAAGGAGGGGUUAUUUUUACUUAUGAAUUUUCAUUAUUUCUAUGUCAAAAUUGGUUCAUAAUAUAGAUGCUCAAUUCAGUAUCUAGUAGUUUCUGUUCUUUUGCUUUUUUUUCUCUAGUCAAUGCAUCAGUAGUGCUUUCUAUUAGUCAAAAGAUAAAUUACAUCAAAUAAGAAAAAUGGUUGCUCAGCAACUCAGACUCCCACUGAGCCUGACAAUGGUAAAUGGAGGAAAUUUCUUCAAGCUCUUAUGUGCUAGCUGAAGGGAAAAGAACAUUUAUAUUAUUUUAAAUGCUUCUGUCAAGAGUGGCUAUAAAUAACAAUAAGACAAAAAUACACCUUUUGGUGAUUUUUGGGUAUUUUUUUUUUCCUAGGCAAAACACACCCUUUUUUUAAUUCUUCUUCCCAAAACAGGUAAAACCUAAAGAAGUUCUGUUAUGUGGAUGGCAGUGAAGGGGACAGAGAAGUGAAUGAAACUAGUUCAGUUUCAUACUAAAUUUCUAUAUUGUCUUUCUAUAUUGUCUAUGUCUAUAGCCUGAACUGCUCUCAUAGUGUUUUUUCAGUGUCUCUAAAAUGACCAGUGAUUAUGGAAGACUAGUAAUGAAAUAGAAAAGCCAGAGCGUGCAUGCAUGUCCGGCUCUGAUUUUUGUACGGAUGUUAGUACUGGACCAUGCCUCCUUCCUCUUCCUCAGCUUGACAGCCACACACAGCUAGGAAAUGCUGCAAUGGUGCUCAUAAUUAGGGCAGUAGUUACCAACCAGAAGUGGUCCAAAUUAAUUUACCAGCUGAGUAGAUAUGUCUCAAAAAAAAAAAAAAUCCUUGCAAGUUGUGAUUAAUUAUUGGUUUUUUAACAUUAGCAUCCUGCUCAAGGCAGAUGUACUGGUCUAGAACUGACAGAGUUCUGCUCUGCAGUAACAGCACUUUGAUCAAAGUCCUGAUUAAGACAGACCUGACACUGACCACGUGCCUAAUUUCUGCCAGUUCCCAGACACUGCUGAGGAAUGUAACCUCUCCAAAAUCCUAUGAAGAGAUAUGAUAAAGCUCCCUUCUUAUCUAUUUUGCAAACACAGCGGAACAUAAAUUUAAGAUUAAUGGCUCUUUCACUCUAAUAAUGGAAACCACAUGAUUUGUAUUUUAUCAAUUUAUAUUAUUUAGUCAUCUCUAUAUUUAUGUUCAAGAUCUAGAAACUCUUUUUUCUAUCAUGAGCAAAAUGUUAAAAAUCAGUUGUCGCUUUCUAAGUACAGUUUUCACAAGAAUGAUUCUUGAUGUAAAAAUCUGUAAUGGGAAGAAGUUUACAAAUACUCAGUAUCUGAGUUAAAAUUUAAUACAAUCACAAUGCCAGCAUUCUGCAUCUAUUUCAGGUGGAAAAAUUUAUUUCAUAAUCCUUAACAUCUUAUUGUUGUAUUACUCAACAUGGGAAAUUCAAAAUGCAGCUCAUUACUAGUAGGGACAGGCAGUCAUUUUAAUUUUCCAUUCAUUUGUAAACUAAUUGGUGUCCAAGAGCUCUCACUUAAAAAUUCAAACAACGUGGUGCAGUUUUCUUCCUAAAUUUGUCAAAUACUGCUACUGUACUUCAUUGCUGUCUUCAGAAUAAUAGAUGUUUCCAUUCUCUGCUGUGCACUCAGGAAGCUGAAAAACAUUUUGACACAUCUUUGAUUGGAGGCAUCCAUGGCUACAGAACAAAACACAUUUAACUGCCAAUUUUUGUUUCUUCAGAUGAGAUAAACCAGAACAUUAUUGGCAUUACAUAAAUCUCAGCCUCAAACAAGAUGUAUCAAAUCAUUUAAGGAAUUUUGGGAAACAAAAACAUGUACUUAAAAAAAAUUACCUUUAAAUUACCUGUAGACAACACUGGUAUGCUUUGAUUACUUCUUUAGAGGCCACCUUGCAAUUUUCUGUAUUUUCACAUUUCUCUAAAGAGAGUGCACAAAAAAGUUUUAUUUUUAAGCAGUUGUAAAAUAUUUCCCAAUGUUCACAUCUUUUAAAUGGUGUUCAGUGCUGACAGUUUACUGAGCUAAAGAACUUCCAGUGUCACUAAGCUCUGAGACUUUCUUUUUACAAGUCUCUUGACAGCUCUGCUUGCACCAAGUAUAUGUUACUUUUAAGGUCUUAUGAGACUGGAGUCCUGCACAGCAUAUGAAGAGUUGAGCCUGGAUAAAUGCUUUCAGGCAAACCCCUGGUUUUCCGAGGUCUGGUGCAUGGGGAGCAGCUAUGGCUUCAGGAACGUCCUGAAACAUUCACCCCAACAGAUCUGGCCUGAAGAGCAGUUCAAAAAAAUCUGCUGGGACACAUUAAACUACCAUUUGAAUGACACACUGGGAUCAUCUCAAUCAAACCCAGCUAAAGCAAUUAAGUGAAUAGCAUUGGUCUGACGGCCUCCCAAAUUUUGCAUUCAUACCCUUCUUACAGACACCAAAAAGAUUGUGCCUGCUUGGCUGAGCAGUGACAGAGAAAAUGCUUCUCUCCAUUUUCUCUGGCAAAUAAAUGCCUCUGUAUACUCUAUUUUUGCUUGUGAUACACAUCCUUCAGCUUAUCCAGGCUUUCCAAUGUAUCACACAUAUUUCACUAUAACAGCCCCCGCUCUACUGCUGUUAAAAUUUCAUAAUAAAGAAAACAGUAAUCAUCAGUCUUAACUUUCCUGUAUUUUUUUCUUCCCUGCGGGUAAGUCGUUACAGUAUGUCUGAUUAUUAGGAACAAGGAAUAAACAUUUCCCUUCCAUGAAGAACAGGAAA